UCACAGUACCUGGGGUGUAUGUGGAUGAGGAUCUCUGAAACAAGGUCUGACCUCUCUCAGGCUAUGCUCUCCCUCCUCCUCUUCCUCCUGUCUCUCUUUCUCCYCACAUCCUAGCCACAAGGAGCCUGCUUUGAAUGCCGGCYGUAACAGAACAACAGAUGGAGGAGCACAACAGGAUAUUCCCACUAAGAGGAUUCCUGUUUCUUUGCCUGUCGCUGUGGACUUUUUUUUGCAGGCAUAAAGUCUUUCAUCGUAACCCAGCUCAACUGGCUCACUGGACCUGAUGUAGAGUUGCUGGAUAAGCCCUGCGAAACCCGCUAGUGUGCAUGUUGACCUGCUUGGCAAAUGGAGAACCCUGACGGAGCGCGCCGUGAAUAACAUUGAAUUAAUGACUCAGGUGGGAUUAGAAAGUCCCGGUUGUGUCUUGAAUCUCUUAACUGCAAUCUUUUGCUCACAACUCAAAGGUGGAUGAAGUGGAGCUUGUUGGAGAUGGCGUCUGUUGAGAGAUUGAAACAAUUCGUUAUUUCCAUUCACUGAUGUAAUUUUAUAAGUGCAUUGUAACAUUUUUAAAGAAGCAUACUAAUAGAAAUACAUGCAUAGCAUCAUUUAUCUGUUGGACCAUAAUGGAAGUUUCAUUAAAAUUAUAUUAAUUAGUUCUGCCUUUGAAAUAAAAUAUAACGCA